rnacentral:lncRNA from 1 species
GCAAUAAACACACAAUUAAAGUGAAAUUAAGAAAUAAUGAUCACACAAGGACAUUAAAAUUUACAUGGUUCGACUUUUAGCCUAUAUCCACGGAUAAAAAUAGAAUGAAAUAUUUUACUAGUGAAAAUAAAUUACAAGUAUUGUAGUAUUUUGUCUCACAACCCAAAACCCCAAUACACUCAAACUCUAAAAAACACUAGAACUAGAGCUAAAAGCUCUCAACACUCUCAACUUACACCUCUUUACUCUCUCA